CCUGGUUGAUCCUGCCAGUAGUCAUAUGCUUGUCUCAAAGAUUAAGCCAUGCAUGUCUAAGUACAUACUUUUGCACGGUGAAACCGCGAAUGGCUCAUUAAAUCAGUUAUGGUUUCUUAGAUCGUUUCUUUUACAUGGAUAACUGUGGUAAUUCUAGAGCUAAUACAUGCAAAAAGCUCCGACCGUAUGGGAAGAGCGCUUUUAUUAGACCAAAACCAAUGGGGUCGCAAGAUCCCUUUGUUUGGUGACUCUGGAUAACUUUGUGCUGAUCGCAUGGCCUAGAGCCGGCGACGUAUCUUUCAAGUGUCUGCCCUAUCAACUUUCGAUGGUAAGCGAUUUGCCUACCAUGGUUGUAACGGGUAACGGGGAAUCAGGGUUCGAUUCCGGAGAGGGAGCAUGAGAAAUGGCUACCACAUCUACGGAAGGCAGCAGGCGCGCAAAUUACCCACUCCUAGAACGGGGAGGUAGUGACGAAAAAUAACAAUACCGGACUCUUAGAGGCUCGGUAAUUGAAAUGAGUACAGUUUAAAACCCUUAACGAGGAUCUAUUGGAGGGCAAGUCUGGUGCCAGCAGCCGCGGUAAUUCCAGCUCCAAUAGCGUAUAUUAAAGUUGUUGCAGUUAAAAAGCUCGUAGUUGGAUCUCGGGUACUAGCAUGUGGUACGCAUAACUGCUGUUACUACAUGUCUGGUCCUAAUCAAUCGGUUGGCCGUUGAUGUCCUUCAUUGGGUGUUUUCGGUAGCCGGUACGUUUACUUUGAGAAAAUUAGAGUGCUUAAAGCAGGCUAUAGGCCUGAAUAAUGUUGCAUGGAAUAAUAGAAUAGGACCUCGGUUCUAUUUUGUUGGUUUUGUAGAGCAUUGAGGUAAUGAUUAAUAGGGACAGACGGGGGCAUUCGUAUUGCGGUGUUAGAGGUGAAAUUCUUGGAUCGCCGCAAGACGAACAACUGCGAAAGCAUUUGCCAAGAAUGUUUUCAUUAAUCAAGAACGAAAGUUGGAGGUUCGAAGACGAUUAGAUACCGUCCUAGUUCCAACCAUAAACGAUGCCAACUAGCAAUUAGCUGCUGUUAUUUAAACGACACAGCUAGCGGCUUCCGGGAAACCAAAGUUUUUGGGUUCCGGGGGAAGUAUGGUUGCAAAGCUGAAACUUAAAGGAAUUGACGG
rnacentral:rRNA from 1 species